AACCGUUAAGUGGUGGUUGGUAGGCGUGAAACUAACAUGGUGCUUGAAAGCGCGUGUUAACUGUACGUUUGUUAUAGCUUAAUUAUUAGUAAGAAAGUGUGUUUUUAUUUGUUUGAAAUGAAAGAGGUGAAUUAAUAUAAAGAUCAAAUUAUAGACAACGUAUAAGUUCUCUUUAACGUAUAUUGCGAAAAUAUGGCAGAAUCGGUAGGACCAAUACUUCAUGUAAUUGUUGUCGGAUUUCAUCACAAAAAAGGGUGUCAAGUAGAAUAUUCAUUUCCUCCUUUGGUGCCCGGAGCUCCAAACGAAUGUCCAUUGGGGUGGAAAUAUUUACCGACUUUAGCUUUACCAGAUGGAUCUCAUAAUUAUGACGAAGAUACAGUUUUUUUUCAUUUACCUAGUUUAAAUGAUCCAAAAUGCACAAUAUAUGGAAUUUCAUGUUUUAGACAAAUUCCUGUUGAGAAAUUAAAGAAUCGUACAUCUGAUAUAACAAGAGGAACUGUUCAGAAAUCUGUUUGUGUAUUAAGUACCUUACCAUUAUAUGGUCAUAUUCAAGUAAAAAUGGCUUUGAUAACACAUGCAUACUUUGACGAAGGUGACUUUAGUAAAGUAUCAUUAUUAGAAGAUACUUAUCAUCAUCUUAAUUCUUGUAUGAGCAGUGAAAGUCAAAUACCGCCCCAAGUUUUUGUUGGAUUAUCUGCGAGAGACUUUAUAUUGCAAUUUCGUCACAAAGUUCUUUUAUUAUUUAAACUACUUCUGUUGGAGAAAAAGAUAGUUUUUUAUCAGUCACCAGUACAACCAUUAUGUGCUACUAUAUUAACAUUACUCUCAUUAUAUCCUGGUAUGAUCGAACAUGGUUUACAACAAGCUGCAUGUGUUAGACCCUCAAGGCCUAUGUCACCCAUUCCUACAUUUGAUGAAGAAGAAAUAUCAACAAAGAAUAUUGAUAAUAACGUAUCUUCUACGAAUUCUGUUAAAAACAACAUAUCAGAUACAAUAAAAGAACACAUUAAUGGAAAUUCGAACAGAAACUCCUUAUGUAUAAACGAUAAUAAAGCUAUUGAAACUAUGGAAAGCAAAUGUUUAGACGAAUUUAAAAACAUAACACUACAAAAGAAUAAUAAUGAAAAUGAGAAUUUGAGCAUGAAAGUGAUCGAAGUUGAAUCUGCACAGGAAUGUACUGAAUCUUAUGUGGAAGAAAAUAAUUCUGUGUAUUCAUCAAAAUCAAAUGACAAUGUACACAGGGUACAGAGUAUAAAUACAAUUACAUUAGGCACAGCAGAUACUGACAAUCCGUUACCACGCGAUACAAGUAACGAUGCACUCUCUGAUGCACGUUUGACAAAUAAUAUUACUCAGAUCGCUCAUAUAAAUCCAGAACUUUGUGGUUUACCAUUAAGUAUAUUUACAAAGGGCUAUCUGUGUUUACCAUAUCUAUCUUUACCAUAUUUGGAUCUUUUGGCAGAUAUUAAUGUUAGAGGAUAUAUAGUGGGAGCAACAAAUGUUUUAUUUAAGCAGAAAAAACAACUUAUCGAUGUGCUAGUAGAGGUCGAAAAUACACGAAUAGAAACAAGUGAUCCAGAAUUAAGAAGACAACUGCAUCUUACGACCGAAGAUCUGAGAUUUGCGGAUUAUAUAGUUAGACAUGUCUCAGAGCCACGUAAAGAUAUUUUUUUAGAUGGUGUAGGCUGGGAAGGUGGAGAUGAAUGGAUUAGAACUCAAUUUCGAGUUUAUUUAUUAAGUAUGUUACGAACAUCGCUACAACAAGAUACUCGACAGUCGGACCAUUAUAAUUCUGCAUUUAUGGCUGCUUGGCGUACAACGAACAACUACAAGAUCUGGAGUAGUACUAAUAAACCAGAAAUUAAUAGCAUAGAUCCUGGACAUCCAUUUGCAGGACAAUUAUCUGUACAAGAUAUGAAAUUACGGUUAUCACACACAAUGCAAAAUACGGAAAGUGGCAGAAAAUUAAAUCAAGCGAUGGCAUCAACCGGAAGAGCAGUUGCAACAACAGGAAAAGCUGUAGGUGGUGCACUUUCACAAGCUAAAGGAGCAUUUUCUAAUUGGUGGAGUACAUUAACAACAGUUCAACCUGUUGAAGAAGGAAAGGCUGACAAUCAAACUACAAUUAUACAUCAAACACUUUCAAACAUAACUAACAAAACUGCUAUCGAAGACGAAGAAAUGGACGUAUCUACCAAUAAUACGAAUCUAGGAGUGGCUGUAGAUUAAUAUAAGGAGUUAUGAAAGUUCUAAUUGUUUGAUACCAUAAUUGUAAAAGAUGUUUCUAAAACCAAAUGUAACAGGUGAUAUUGUUUCUUACUAUACACAGUAAACGAGAUAUAGUAGAACAAGAAUAAGUAUUCGUACAAUGCAAACUGUUGGUGUGUAUAACAGGAAAUUUAAUUAUAUCUGAGAAAAGUUCAGUUGCUGAUAUUUUCAGAUAAAUUGAAACAGCUCAAAAAAUGAUAAAGUUUUUAUUUAAAUACGAGUGCCAAAUAAACUGGCAUAGGACUGGUGAUUUAUGAGUACUAUAAAUAAAUUUAUGUGCAGUUAAUAACUACAAGAAGUUCUUUUGAUAGAUUGUUAGAUUCUUAUGUUAUGAAAUUGUGCUAUACUAGUCAAUUCACAUUGUAUCUUUUAGUCAUAACAACCUUGUUAUUCUUACGAAUUAUAUAUAUAUAAUAUAUAUGAAAAACUUUUAUACGAAUAACACUAUUUAAUUUGUAUUAUCCGCAAUGAACAUAACACGAAAUUUUGUUAAUUUUUAUUAAAUAUUAUUUAAAUGUAAACAGGGUUUUAUAAAUGUGAUAAUAUGCGUUUUAUGUUUGAAGUAAUGUUUAUUUAUAUUUAACUUUGGUUUACCAUACAUGCAAUUCGGUUAUUUUUUUUUUUUUCAAAUUGAUCUGAAAAAAUCUAUGUACUCUUUAUAGUUAUAGAUCAUUUCACAGCAUAUGUAUAUAUAAAUGCAGAGUGUAUGUAUGCAAAUAUUUCUUAUGUUAAUUAGAAUAUGAAAGUACAUGAUGUAUAUUGUGAUUAAUUAUUUAUUGUAGUAUCUGUUAUUAUGUAUUACAUACAUUUUUAUCAAGAAA